GAUGAACGCUAGCGGCGUGCUUAACACAUGCAAGUCGAACGAGAACGGGUUAUAGCUUGCUAUAAUUGUCAGCUAAGUGGCGCACGGGUGAGUAAUGUAUAGGUAAUAUGCCUCUUACUAAGGGAUAACAAUUGGAAACGAUUGCUAAUACCUUAUACUCCUUAUUAACCUAAGUUAAUAAGGGAAAGAUUUAUUGGUAAGAGAUUAGCCUGUAUUGUAUCAGUUAGUUGGUGGGGUAAUGGCCUACCAAGACUAUGACACAUAACUGGUUUGAGAGGAUGAUCAGUCACACUGGAACUGAGACACGGUCCAGACUCCUACGGGAGGCAGCAGUGGGGAAUAUUGCACAAUGGACGAAAGUCUGAUGCAGCAACGCCGCGUGGAGGAUGACACAUUUCGGUGCGUAAACUCCUUUUAUAUGAGAAGAUAAUGACGGUAUUAUAUGAAUAAGCACCGGCUAACUCCGUGCCAGCAGCCGCCGUAA
rnacentral:rRNA from 1 species